CCUCAUUCUUUUCAGAAAUUGCUAGAAGACUAAAUCUUUUAAUAUCCCAAAAUCUGAUUUGGCUUAACAAAAUUCCUUUAUUUUAAUUGAUUUUGAAACAACAUUUUCAAAUUACCCUGCAUGGCAAAACAUAUUUUGCAGCGUGGAUUGGAAUGAAUCAAGGAAUGCCCAGUGUAAUGAAUACAAAAACGUAUCAAUACACGUUGUGAAAUGUCCCAAUCGUUCAACCUCCUGGCUUAAUCAAGGGCAUUCAAACAAUUGCAUAACAGAAUAUUAAUUUCCAAUCUUUAAAAUUUCGUGACCAUGCAUCUUGGACUUUCAUUUUCCCCAAGGUCAUCAGCAACAGCAUCAAUCAAACCUCUAAUGAUUUAAAUCACUCAAUAACUUCCAAUCUUCUAGCCUACUCUGAAAGUUUUCCACAAUCAAUCCACUUGAAAUAUUCACCAAUACAAGAAACUUUGAGUGCUGAAGUAGUUGCUUAAUACACAUCGAACCUAUCAGAAACCAUUUCAGGUCUGAGUGCCAUGGUGCUCGAUGGUUGAUGGGUUAACUGCAAUCAUUUUGACGUCACUCCACAUCAAUGUGCUAUCGGUUCCGCCAACCAGAAACAGUUUUGGGGACUAAUGUGAUGGAAUUUGAGGAUGCUUCUAGCUUUGAUAUUUCUUCAACAGCCUUCAUAAUUUCAGCAGAACUUGUUUCAAGCACCUGACCUCCAAAAACUAUCUCAUCUAAAAUUGUAUGCAACUUGCUGUAAUUGAACACUAUGUCAAGCUCACAUACAUUUCUGAAGCAUUUGUCCAGUGUUUCUACAAAAACUUGAAUGAGAUCUAGCACGGCAAGCUCAUUUUCACAGGUAUCAAAUACAAACACAAAAUAAAGAGUUGCAUAGUGUUUGUACACAAGACGACUAUCCUGCCAAAGAUGGGGAAAAAAGAAUCCUUUCAAAAAAAAUAAUAAUAACAUAAAAAUCUGCAAUUUUAAUCUAAAAUGUACUUGAGAUAGAGAGAAGUAUAUCAUACCGGGCCAAAGAUAGAAUCAGCCUCCAUGAAAUUGCUAACAUUCUCAGCUCUACUGCAUAACACUAAAAAAAUUGAAAUCCCAAAUCAGAAACAAAAAAUUACUCGCAAUAAACAAGAUUAGCAAAAGCUUCUUAGCGCAUAAAAGGUUAGAGAUUGAGCACCUCCAAAUACGCUGCGUAUAAGCCCCUGUUGUUUGUCCACAGUCAAAAAAUCAUAAAAUUUGGCAAGGCGAGGUUUGCCUUGGGUAUUUAUUACCAUCACCGCCUUUAUCAUUUUCACCUCCCUCACCGAUUCCCCAGGCGAGCGGCUCCGCUAAUUUAUGAUCUCUGAUUUCUCUUUCCUUCAGAAUUUGCCUCAUCUGUACCUAAUACCAAACAGAUAUAAAUAAAGAGCUCAAAAUGCUCCAUCUUAUUAUGAAUUGUAAUAAUAUGAAUAUGUUAC
rnacentral:misc_RNA from 1 species